rnacentral:rRNA from 1 species
CACGAGGAGGAGUUUGACGAUGUAGUGGUUGAAGAAGAAGCCCCCGAUCUGCUAGAGGAGAUUCGCUUGUUAGCCCUAGCUAGGGUUCACACAACGAAGAACUUCAGCCAAGCUGCUUUCUUCAAAGACAUGAGGGCAGCAUGGAACACGGCUAAGCCCGUUCGCUUCCGCCCAAUCGGAUCACACUUGUUUGUGGUCCAAGCUUCCUACCUUGGGGAUUGGGAUCGGCUCAUGACCCAAGGGCCAUGGCUCUUUCAGAACAUGGCAGUUCUCCUGGCGCAGUAUGAUGGUUUUACAGAUGCUGAAGAAGUACCUAUAGUUCAUAUGCCUAUCUGGCUACAGAUACACAAGCUGCCAGAUGGUUACUGUAGGAACGAUUUGAUUGCAAAAUUGUUAAGAUCAGCGGGUGAAAUCCUGGAGACUAGAAUCAACGGAAACUCUAGAGGGGAUUAUGUUCGCGUUCGUGUGAAACAGGAUAUCACAAAACCUCUGACAAAGUUUGUAAGUAUUGUAUGGGAAAAAUCGUAA